GGGUUGUAAACUCCUUUCGCUAGGGACGAAGCUUUUUGUGACGGUACCUAGAUAAGAAGCACCGGCUAACUACGUGCCAGCAGCCGCGGUAAU
rnacentral:rRNA from 1 species